rnacentral:rRNA from 1 species
GCUGAACUUAAGCAUAUCAAUAAGCGAAG